rnacentral:lncRNA from 1 species
GCAGCUAGCGGGGGAGGGGGCGGGUCAGGGCACGGUGGAUUCGCUCCGGCGCGCCAGGGAGCGCGUGAACGGGUGACGGCGACUACGCUCGCCGCCGGUGGCUUCCCAGACGCGUCUUCUAUGAUCCAUGCAGGUGGGUGCCCAAGAAAUCAAAGCAUGCGAUGCGACGAGCGCGUCCUUCGUUCUCGCGUUCUUGGAUUGUAAAAUCUGUCAGAUACCUCUGUUUCUUGCAGCACCUCUCGGUCGAGGGCGUGCGUGGAGGGCGCCGCCGAGGCGGCCAGUCUUUCCGCCGCCGCAGGGCAAUCCAGGUGAGGGCUCAGUUCCCUUGCAGUUCUUUUCUUGCGUUCUUGGAUUGUAACAUCUGUCAGAUGCCUCUGUUGGGUGCAGUUCUUUCUCUCUGACGCCCGACAUUGAUUUCUUGCAGCCGAUGCGCCGCUGCAACGGGCGUGCCGUUCUUGCAACACGCCCACAACGUGGGAUUUGGUUUGUCGUGAUACGACAACGGGGCUUUUGGUCUCAGUGCCCUUGUGCCAGGAUUGUGCUCGUGAGCAGCAGUUACGAGCUGAGCUUGCAGCGCUGGAGGAGAGGAUGCUGGUGGCGGCCAAUAUUCUGAACAAUCCUUUCUCCAUCAUCUGCGAGGCUUGCGGCCACCCCUCUGGCACCAACAAAAAUGUGUGCAGGGUUUGCAACCCCUUGGGCAACGCCACUUUCGGCCCACCACCGCCACCGGCAGGGCAGAGCUAGCUCAUCUCACCGCUGUGAGUGGGGAAUGUUUUCUGAACUCUUGGAGCAGACAGCUUAACUGCUGAGCUAGCUCUGCUUUUUGCUCUGUUUUGGAAGAACAGGAUGAUUCAUGUGAUGUAAUGUGGCCUAAUGUGGCAGAACAGAUCCAUGAAACUAUAUUCCUGUGAAAUUAGUAGAUAACACUCUAGUUUCGGAUGGACAGAUCGAUGAAACUAUAUUCCUGUGACAUGGCCAAAUGUGUGCAGUCUAAUUUGUUAAUCUUUGGUUCUUAUAUGACGCUUUAGUUUUGCCACUUUCAGUUUAACCAAAUGAGU